AAUACAAUUUAGUUCUCUCCCAGCGAAGGUUCCGUGGAUGGUGAUAAUUAUUUUCAAUGAAUUUUCAGAAUUCUGUAUUAUUGCGUCGUACAUAUGUGCGCGGAUUUUCGGCACGUUUCCAGAGAAUUGGUCUAGGCUCUGGGUCUUCAAGGCCGCCUCCGACUGGUGCCAGAAUAGAGCUUUCGAACAGUAAUGGUCAUAGUGUAUCAUCUGAUUGGCUCUACAGUGGAAAAAACAUUCGCUGUACUAAUUUCCCAUAAGAAGUAGAAAAUGUUCAAUAGAAGUGUGCACCUGCCACCAGCGUA